UACGAAGGGGGCUAGCGUUGCUCGGAAUUACUGGGCGUAAAGGGCGCGUAGGCGGACAGUUUAGUCAGAGGUGAAAGCCCAGGGCUCAACCUUGGAAUUGCCUUUGAUACUGGCUGUCUUGAGUUCGGGAGAGGUGAGUGGAGUGCCGAGUGUAGAGGUGAAAUUCGUAGAUAUCGAGAGGAACACCGGUGGCGAAGGCGGCCAACUGGACGAAUACUGACGCUGAGACUCGAAAGCGUGGGGAGCAAACAGG
rnacentral:rRNA from 1 species